CAACAGCACUGCUCUGCCACCUUCAGUGCCAGAGUCCCAGCCUCUCGUCUCUGGCCCUCCUAGGCACCAUGUGUCAGAAAUGGAACUCAGGACCUUGUGCUCUCCAGACAGGGGCAGCGGCACUGAGCUACAUCCCUGGCCCCGAAAGUGAGCCUCUUUCACUGAGAAAGUAACGAGUCGAGCCGCAGCCAGCGGGGGACGGGGAGGUCUGUGGCGCGGCGAAGUUGCUUCAGGGAGACUGAUCGCUUUUUAAAACAGAGAAAGUCUUCCGGCUCCGCCUACACGGUCAGAGUGGGCUCUGCUUCCCUGUCGCUGUCCCCAACCCCUCAGCUGGCUCGCCUGGCUGUGCCCCUCAGCCUGCACCAGCCACCGGGUCUACACAGCCAGAGGAGGAGAGCAGCCCGGGGGCCUGGAGACUCCCUGGGGACCAGCCAGGGUUGCCUUGUGACUACUUUUCAAGGACCUGCGUCAACCACAGCUGAUGGUUUCCCCUUCCCAUAGAAACACAGAGAUACAAAAUGGAAAUAAACUGCUGUCCCGCCCUCUCUCGGUGAUUUGAAUCCCUUGCUGAGCUGGGCCUUUUUGCUGCGCCCCAUACCCGGUGGUCUGUCUGGGAAUCCGACGCAGUGCUCACUUCCUGACGAUGCCCCACUUUGUGGGUCCCACGGCCUUGGACCCAGGGAAGCUCCGGCACAAGUCACCUCCUGACCUUCUGCCUCUAAGUCUCUGCACACGCUGCCCCCGGCCAGGGCACCCAGUGGCCACCUUGGCCACUUACUGAUUACACAGGUGUAGACCCUGUUUUAAAGCAAAAGAAAAAUAAGUAAACAAAAGAAAGAGGCAAGAAAGAAGAAAAAAUACAACCACCCACUCCCGUCACCUAGAGGAAGCAUUGUCAAACACCUUUGUUCUUUCAAAGCAGGGCACGUGUUCCUUUUCCUGUACGAGAACUUUCAGGCAAUACGCAGUUGUGUAACUUGUUUUCUUGCCCUUGCAAUAAAAAAUCAGGAGCCUCUUUGUACAUUAACAAGUGUUUCCCUACGUUGUUUUAACUGUGACACAUUUCCAAUAGCUAUGUAUAUAAAACAUGUGCAUACUUUAAGACUGUAACAACAAGGUUCACUGGGGGUGCUCUACUCUGGCUACCGGGUAGCCCCAGGGGUGGUCUAAGAAGCCCCUGCAGUGUCUCCACCCUCAAAGGCCAUC